rnacentral:rRNA from 1 species
AACGAACGCUGGCGGCAGGCUUAACACAUGCAAGUCGAGCGCCCCGCAAGGGGAGCGGCAGACGGGUGAGUAACACGUGGGAACCUACCUGAAGGUACGGAACCACUCCGGGAAACUGGAGCUAAUACCGUAUGUGCCCGAAAGGGGAAAGAUUCAUCGCCUUCAGAUGGGCCCGCGUCAGAUUAGCUAGUUGGUGAGGUAACGGCUCACCAAGGCGACGAUCUGUAGCUGGUCUGAGAGGAUGAUCAGCCACACUGGGACUGAGACACGGCCCAGACUCCUACGGGAGGCAGCAGUGGGGAAUAUUGGACAAUGGGCGCAAGCCUGAUCCAGCCAUGCCGCGUGAGUGAUGACGGCCUUAGGGUUGUAAAGCUCUUUCGACGGGGACGAUAAUGACGGUACCCGUAGAAGAAGCCCCGGCUAACUUCGUGCCAGCCGCCGCCGUAAGAC